CAUGGGCAGGGACACCUUCCACUGGAGCAGCUUGCUCCAAGCCCCUGUGUCCAACCUGGCCUUGAACACUGCCAGGGAUGGGGCAGCCACAGCUUCUCUGGGCACCCUGUGCCAGCGCCUCAGCACCCUCACAGGGAAGAGCUUCUGCCUAAGAGCUCAUCUCAGUCUCCCCUCUGGCAGGUUAAAGCCAUUCCCCUUGGCCUGUCCCUGCAGGCCCUUGUCCAAAGCCCCUCAUGAAGAGCCCCUCUCCAGGUUUCUUCUUGUCCCCUUUAGGCACUGGGCUCUCUUCCGCUGUCUUCCAGUAUAGUGUGAAAGCAGCAGGACGUGCAUACAAACCACAAUGUCCAUGAACUGAACAUUAAAGAUGGUUUAAAUGUUCCUCUAUAUUUCAACAGCAUCAAAGUUGCUUCUUCCUCCAUUUCCAGGACAGUCUGGGAUCCCUACAUGCUGCUGCCCUUCCUCCCCAGCCUGUUGGAUAAGCAGCAGCAGGAUCUGACCUCUCCUGUACACUGGAGUGCUCUGUUCUAAGCAUGAUGUCCUGCUCCAGUUCUGUCGUUAGAUAACAAAAAUCAGAGCACAGGAGCACCCGGCUCCUCAGCGGCACUGCGCAGCGCAGAUGUAAGGCUGACUGCUGUGCGACUUGCUUGACAUCUUCUCACGCUGUAGUGGCAGCUGAUACAGAGAGCAAUGACUUUUAUAAGUGUGUAAUCUGUCCGUUUACUAUCAGGCCUCUGUUUCACGAGUCCACCGGCUGCAGCUCCUCAGCAGCAGCUUCAAAAGCUUUGGAUGCUGCCGUACCACAAAGGAGCCCCAGAAACCUACCCCAAGAGCAUUCCAAAUCCAGGUUGUUCCCUAGGGCUGCUCGAGGCCCUGCUCUGCAUUUCCCUGCAGGAGUGCUCCCGCAGCAGGAUGCCAGGUAGAGCUGUAACUGCAGCCUCUGCAGCUGCUGUGCAAGGAAUGCAGGUACUAACUACAGAAAUAGUAAGGAUUCAUACAUGCAUAUUUCUAAAUGUAUAGAGUUAUAUAAAUAGAAGUAUUCUUAUAUAAAUACAUGAAACAGAGAAUGCCACACCUCGGUUUUAGCCAAUGAAACACUGCAAAAUUCAGCAUUUAAUGUAUAAUAUAACCUUUAUUCUUUGUCCUCUAAACUCUUGGAAACUUACAUAACAAUCGUGCUUUAAUUAUGACACCGUUUAUAGACAUUUAAAAUGCAUCUUAAUUUAUAAAUAUUUUACAUUUGGUCCAUAGAACAGGUUGCAAUUUACUAAAUAAUACUGUACUCUUUUAAACAGGCUCUGUAUAUAUUUUUUGAAUAUGUAUAUAUUACAUAUAUAUUUUUAUAUAGAGAUAGAUUUGCUUGGUGUUCAGAUAUUUCCUUAUUGCAAAAAGCUUACAUGAUCAUACAAUAAUCUUUUCUUUCAGGGCAAGUACUACAAAAAAGAUACAGCUAUUCACAGUUUACACACAGUAGUUCUACAACACUAGUUUGUGCUAUAUGAUACGUUUGUACAGCUUUUUGCUAAAGAGCAGGUCUGUCAAACAUCGGUCAUAAUUGUUUACAAUCAAACAUUAAAUACUGCAUUUGUCUUAGAACAACAUGGGACUUGGUUACAUUAAACAAGAAAGAGGAAGUUGGAGUUUUUAUCCUUAGUCUAAUGAAAGUCACAAUUAGGAUGUGUAUGGAUCAUCUGGGAUGUUGGUGUGGGAUGGACAGGUUUCCUCUGAAUCCCAAUGACUUACAGGACUUUUGCAUUUCAGCUAUAGCUGUUUAGGAUGUAGCUUAGGUCUCAUCGUAUUUUACAGUUGACCUAUGUAUGAAAGGGUUUAGAAUC